CAGACAGACAGACAUGCAGAGAGAGAGAGAGAGCGUGCAGCCAAAGUUGUGUGAGCUAGCAGAGGAAAGGCUGCUGGCCAACCUGUCCACCCUCCUGGCUGAGGAGCCAACCUCUUCAGUAAGGCGGACAGAGGUGCGUCCAUGUAAAUUGACCCCCUGCUACCCGACACCGGAUAAGCGGACGAAUUUGUAUGGAUGGAACCUGACACCAAG